AUUACUGAAACUGAAAACCACCAACCUUGCUCUCUUAUCAUUUCCAUUCACGUAGAGGUUGAGUUGAAACAACUGAUUUAUUUAUAGAAGCAUAAUAACUAAGAUAAUUGGAUUUUGGUUAGUUUUGAAAUCUUAAAAUGCAAGUAUUUCAUUAUUUGGAGGUGUCUCUUUGUCAAAUAUAUAUGCAGGACAGACAAUAGGUUAAGUUGAGCAAAAAACUUUGGAUUAAUUAUUAAAAUCAAUCAUAACAAAAGCUAAUUAACUUUUUGUUAUAGAAAGACCUAUUUCAAUACCGAACCUUUUUAACUGGUAAGAAUUAAGGAAAAGUAGAAUCCAACUUAAUCGAGUAUCUUUAUCUUUAUUAAUGAAGAGAGAAGUUGUGUAAAAAGGAGAAGAAAAACUAUAUAUAUAAACAUUUUUAUCUUUUUUAUUUAAAUUAUAUUACAUUUUUAUCUUUAAAAUUCAAAUGAAAAAAUUAUUUCUCUCUUAGAUGAGUCUCGGUCAAGUUAAUGGGUGGAGAUAAAACAUCAAUUUCAGUGCUUACUUUGGGGUGUGGAAGUGGGUAAAACUGAGAAUAAAAGAAACUAUUGUAAAACCAGAUGACCUAUGAAGUACACGGUUAGUAGAAUUUAGAGGCAUGUAAUUAAGAUAGAGUAUAGACAAUAAUGAUUAUAAUCAUACCGCUAGAGAAAAAAACAACCCAUUCUGAGAAAGAGACAUACGUGUAGUUCACUUAAUCCUGAUUUUAUUAACGUAAUAAGUGGGAUUUGGUUUGGACUUGUGUGUCAAAUCUAUUCUUUGAGCAUUUGUUUAUUUGGCUUUUAAUCUUAUUCAUAGUGACAACUACUGAGAUAGAAUAAUUUCAGUGGGAUUAGUAACAAAUAACAAUUAAACAAAGAUUAAGGGGGA
rnacentral:lncRNA from 1 species